rnacentral:rRNA from 1 species
AUUGAACGCUGGCGGCAGGCCUAACACAUGCAAGUCGAGCGGAUGAAGGGAGCUUGCUCCUGGAUUCAGCGGCGGACGGGUGAGUAAUGCCUAGGAAUCUGCCUGGUAGUGGGGGAUAACGUCCGGAAACGGGCGCUAAUACCGCAUACGUCCUGAGGGAGAAAGUGGGGGAUCUUCGGACCUCACGCUAUCAGAUGAGCCUAGGUCGGAUUAGCUAGUUGGUGGGGUAAAGGCCUACCAAGGCGACGAUCCGUAACUGGUCUGAGAGGAUGAUCAGUCACACUGGAACUGAGGCACGGUCCAGACUCCUACGGGAGGCAGCAGUGGGGAAUAUUGGACAAUGGGCGAAAGCCUGAUCCAGCCAUGCCGCGUGUGUGAAGAAGGUCUUCGGAUUGUAAAGCACUUUAAGUUGGGAGGAAGGGCAGUAAGUUAAUACCUUGCUGUUUUGACGUUACCAACAGAAUGAGCACCGGCUAGCUUCGUG